ACAUGCAAGUCGAGCGAACGGACGAGAAGCUUGCUUCUCUGAUGUUAGCGGCGGACGGGUGAGUAACACGUGGAUAACCUACCUAUAAGACUGGGAUAACUUCGGGAAACCGGAGCUAAUACCGGAUAAUAUUUUGAACCGCAUGGUUCAAAAGUGAAAGACGGUCUUGCUAUCACUUAUAGAUGGAUCCGCGCUGCAUUAGCUAGUUGGUAAGGUAACGGCUUACCAAGGCAACGAUGCAUAGCCGACCUGAGAGGGUGAUCGGCCACACUGGAACUGAGACACGGUCCAGACUCCUACGGGAGGCAGCAGUAGGGAAUCUUCCGCAAUGGGCGAAAGCCUGACGGAGCAACGCCGCGUGAGUGAUGAAGGUCUUCGGAUCGUAAAACUCUGUUAUUAGGGAAGAACAUAUGUGUAAGUAACUGUGCACAUCUUGACGGUACCUAAUCAGAAAGCCACGGCUAACUACGUGCCAGCAGCCGCGGUAAUACGUAGGUGGCAAGCGUUAUCCGGAAUUAUUGGGCGUAAAGCGCGCGUAGGCGGUUUUUUAAGUCUGAUGUGAAAGCCCACGGCUCAACCGUGGAGGGUCAUUGGAAACUGGAAAACUUGAGUGCAGAAGAGGAAAGUGGAAUUCCAUGUGUAGCGGUGAAAUGCGCAGAGAUAUGGAGGAACACCAGUGGCGA
rnacentral:rRNA from 1 species